GAUGAACGCUGGCGGCGUGCCUAAUACAUGCAAGUAGAACGCUGAAGGAGGAGCUUGCUCUUUCCGGAUGAGUUGCGAACGGGUGAGUAACGCGUAGGUAACCUGCCUGGUAGCGGGGGAUAACUAUUGGAAACGAUAGCUAAUACCGCAUAACAGUAGAUAUUGCAUGAUAUUUGCUUGAAAGGGGCAAUUGCUCCACUACCAGAUGGACCUGCGUUGUAUUAGCUAGUUGGUGAGGUAACGGCUCACCAAGGCGACGAUACAUAGCCGACCUGAGAGGGUGAUCGGCCACACUGGGACUGGGACACGGCCCAGACUCCUACGGGAGGCAGCAGUAGGGAAUCUUCGGCAAUGGACGGAAGUCUGACCGAGCAACGCCGCGUGAGUGAAGAAGGUUUUCGGAUCGUAAAGCUCUGUUGUAAGAGAAGAACGAGUGUGAGAGUGGAAAGUUCACACUGUGACGGUAUCUUACCAGAAAGAGACGGCUAACUACGUG
rnacentral:rRNA from 1 species